GGCUCCAGGAUUGGGGGUACAGGACAGAGGGAAGGCAGCCAGGCCGCAGACAGGAAAGGAGGGUUCUCUAGGCAAACAGCUGAGGCGCCUACGGGAAGCCAGGCUUGCCGAGAACCAGAGGCCGGGGCCCACCAGGCGCCAGAUCUGCACCAGGGAUGCUCAAGGAGACACUGGCUGGUGACACGCUUUCUGAGCAGCCCUUAAAUUGAGCAUCACAACGGGCCUGACGUAUCUGCUGAACUGACUCAAAGACCUGAGAUGUGAUACGACAACCGAGGGCAAUCAUCCGUGCCAGAUGGGUAGUGUUUAUGCCAGAGCUGGGAUGGCUGAUGGGAAACUGAAUUCUCCUCCACCAACCACCAGACCCCGUCUUGCCUGCCUUGCCUCGCGCCAGCACUUGCCCCUGUCUCCACUUAAACAGAAAACAGAAAACCCACAUGAGGGCAUCGUUAGUGAUCCACCUUCUUUAAUUAAUUUAAUAAAUUAAUCCUUGGACUUUUUCUUCACUGUGUCCUUGAGAGUCCCUCCUAAGCCACUGGGAAGAAUCACAAACACCCACAUAGAAUCUUCCGGUUCACCAGAGCCUCUUC
rnacentral:lncRNA from 1 species